rnacentral:misc_RNA from 1 species
ACACCUCAACUCUCAUGGUCUACCAUGAUGAGCUUGGACUUUGGGGGUCUUGCCGGCCUAACCGUCGGCUCCUCUCAAAAGAAUCAGCUUGCCAGUGUUUGGUGGCAUCACGGGUGUGAUAACUAUCUACGCCUGCGCUCUUCCACCAGAUAACCUUCAGUGAUGGAGGUUCGCUGGAGCUCACAGACGUCCUCUUCCCAUAGAGGACAGCUUUUGAAC